rnacentral:miRNA from 1 species
UUAACGUGUCUCCUAUUUUUAGGGA